rnacentral:lncRNA from 1 species
UUUGUUAGGAAAGUUAGAGAUAGAGUUGGAUUUCGGACUCCUUAUUCAAAGUGGACGAAAAUAUCUCUCCCUCCUCCUUUAUAUACCCCAUGAGCCCCCCUAAGGAGCCUUGGGUUUUGUUUAGUUAAAAGUUAGCCAUCGCUACUACUUCGUGUAAUCGCGUGUGUCGGUUAGACCACCUGUUUUACCGCUUUCGGAACCCCAACUUAUCGUCUCG